rnacentral:sRNA from 1 species
CACAGUUGCAUACUAUAGUGUCAGUAUCUUCAUAAUUAUUUUUUAGUUUGUUUAUUGCGACCAUUUGUCUGGAUGGCUCCAAUAGACCUCUGUUGUGAAUCACUCUUCAAUGUCUUGAUUUGCGAUAAUGACCAGUGUGUAAUGUGUAUAUAGUAGGAAAUAGCGAUUAGAGGAGGCCAUAUUAUUGGGUCAAGUACUGUUUGGUCUAAUAUCAGAUGUUGUUGAAAAUCCUUUUCAUCGAUCAACUUUUAGCGGAAUCACCUCUGGGCGUCAGUUGUCACUACAAUAAUUCAGUCUCUAUGUCGUGACAUGUAGAGCAAAAAAAAAAAACAACUAGGUACAUACUUGUAGAUAUGAUGUAGGAAUUGAGGUCCACUUAGCUCCAAAGCCUUAGAGCAACACAUAAUAGAUAUUUGACCGUGGCCUGUAAGGCCUUAUUCAGCGAUUUUAAGGGAAUGUUAGAGAUAUUAUUUUAACCAUAUAUAUUAUUCUGGUCUAUUUGGAUUGUGUUUUAGGUUUAUACAUUUGUAUGUCAGUUAAAAGUUUGAUAUGUUUUGUCUAGUUGUUUUUUUUACAUUAUAAUUUUAUUAAAUCGAUUGCAGAAUAACUUAAAAUAAUUUUUAUAAUCUAUAACACAUUUCUAAAUCAGGUUCAUGGUGUUUAAUAUUAACGAACAAUAAUAGAAAUAAUAAGCAAUUAGAACAACUGAUAUUCUUUUUUAUUUAAUUUUGCGAAUCAUCAUAUGAUAACCUUGAUACACUAACAUACAACCCUAAAGCUUUAUUGAUAACCUGACACAUUAUUAUAAAACCACAAAGCAUUAUUUAACAACCCUAAUACAAUAUGAGAUAGCCGAAUCAUCAUUUGAUAACCUUCAUAUAUGAAUAUACCACCCUGAUACAUUAUUUGACAGCCACGAAGCACCAUUUGAUAACCUUCAUAUGUGAAUAUACCACCCUGAUACAUUAUUUGACAGCCACGAAGCACCAUAUGAUAACCUUCAUAUAUGAAUAUACCACCCUGAUACAUUAUUUGACAGCCACGAAGCACCAUAUGAUAACCCUCUUUCAUUAUUAGACAGCCGUGUUGCACCAUAUGACAACUGACAACUUUCACAAGGGAUUAACAUUCACAUAUUAUAAACAUAAACUACCAUCUUUUUUUGGGUGGUCAAAGCUAACCAGUAUGAGAAUCUAUGCACUAUUUACAAAUAGAAGAAGAAAAAGGAAUAGAAUAAAACAUAUUGGCUAGGAUACUUAUCGCCAGAACAUAUCAGCUUGGAAUUAAAACAACAAAUUGUUUGGAUAGAAAGAAUCUAGACGUAGAUCUGUGUGAACAAAAAAAAAAUGCGGAGGCAAAAAAUGAAUACAGGAAAAAAAGCCUAAGAAAAGAACUAGAGCAAAGGUGGCGUGGAAGUAGGGCACGGAUUAUUAAAUAGGCUGAUUAGAUCUAAAUCUAGUUUAGGAUUAUGUUUCCAGUGGAAAGGCAAUUACCUUGUUUUUGGGAGUAAAGGAAGGAUUCAGCAAAUAAUGUUUGAAAAUAUACUAACCUCAAAAAUUUGUUGGAAAGUUUGUAUAAAUGGAUUGUCUCACUUGCAUUAAGAUAUCCUUUGCGCAUUACUUGUUUGAUAGUUUAGGAAUUCGGUUUGGUUUAUAUAAUAAUUUGAAUUAGUUAUAAAUAGUAACUGCCUGUUGUUAGUAUUCUAAUACAUUGUAUUCUAAUUCUUUUAUUGAACGAGAUACUUCAAAAGAUGGAAGAAUCAGUUUUAUCCACGUUUAUAAUUUCAAAGAGUGAAUGUGAAAAUUUCUAGAUCAAGAUCUUGAUGUUUGUAAAAAAGUGUAUGCAAUAAUUUUGACUUUAAUUAGUUAUCUGAUAUCACAUUUUUACCUUCAAACAUACAGCAUAAUUUCUUGAAAAUUAAUUUUAUGAAAGCAUUGAUUUUAAUAAUAUUCAGGACAAUUAGUAUCAAACAGAGAAUCUCUUUUUCAGAGUAUAAUUGUAUAAACAUUGUCUUUAUCGUCUUUAUAUCGUAACCUAAAUAGCUCGACUGAAUCUACUAGGUAACAACUAGAAGAAGAACAAAAAAAACCUAGAAAGCAAAAUAUUAGAAGCUGGCUGUAGGUAAG